rnacentral:siRNA from 1 species
CUCCAAUUCCUCAGGGUGUUU